rnacentral:rRNA from 1 species
CCUACGGGAGGCAGCAGUGGGGAAUAUUGGACAAUGGGCGAAAGCCUGAUCCAGCAAUGCCGCGUGAGUGAUGAAGGCCUUAGGGUCGUAAAGCUCUUUUACCCGGGAUGAUAAUGACAGUACCGGGAGAAUAAGCUCCGGCUAACUCCGUGCCAGCAGCCGCGGUAAUACGGAGGGAGCUAGCGUUGUUCGGAAUUACUGGGCGUAAAGCGUACGUAGGCGGUUAUUCAAGUCAGAGGUGAAAGCCCGGGGCUCAACCCCGGAACUGCCUUUGAAACUAGAUAGCUAGAAUCUUGGAGAGGUCAGUGGAAUUCCGAGUGUAGAGGUGAAAUUCGUAGAUAUUCGGAAGAACACCAGUGGCGAAGGCGACUGACUGGACAAGCAUUGACGCUGAGGUACGAAAGCGUGGGGAGCAAACAGGAUUAGAUACCCUGGUAGUCCACGCCGUAAACGAUGAUAACUAGCUGUCCGGGUACUUGGUAUCUGGGUGGCGCAGCUACGCAUUAAGUUAUCCGUCCGUCGGGUAGGUACGGUCGCGAAGAAUUAAAACUUAAAAGUAAAGUUAGUACGGCGUGAGACGUGCCGAACGGACGACGACGAGGGAGUAGG